UAAAUGACUGAGUCCCAAAUAGGAUUGCAAUCAAAGUUUACAAUUUAUUAAACAAAUAGAGGCAAGCAAACAGCGCUGGGUGUGCCAGGAGUCUCUGCUCCACCCGGACGCACACCUGUUACGUAAGGCGGCUGGUUUUUAUGCUCCUAGGCUAAUACAUAUUCAUUACUACUUCUAGAAGAGGCAGGGUUAUUAUAAUUGGUUUCCAGAAUCCGAAACCCUCCCAGGGGCGCCUGCGUAUCAGUCUCUGUGACUUUCUCUGGGGCC